UUGACCUCGGAUCAGGUAGGGAUACCCGCUGAACUUAAGCAUAUCAAUAAGCGGAGGAAAAGAAACCAACAGGGAUUGCCUCAGUAACGGCGAGUGAAGCGGCAACAGCUCAAAUUUGAAAUCUGGCUCUUUUAGGGUCCGAGUUGUAAUUUGUAGAAGAUGCUUCGGGUGUGGCUCCGGUCUAAGUUCCUUGGAACAGGACGUCAUAGAGGGUGAGAAUCCCGUACGUGACUGGUUGCCUUCGCCCAUGUGAAGCUCUUUCGACGAGUCGAGUUGUUUGGGAAUGCAGCUCAAAAUGGGUGGUAGAUUUCAUCUAAAGCUAAAUAUUGGCCAGAGACCGAUAGCGCACAAGUAGAGUGAUCGAAAGAUGAAAAGCACUUUGGAAAGAGAGUUAAACAGUACGUGAAAUUGUUGAAAGGGAAGCGCUUGCAACCAGACUUGCGCGCUGCCGAUCAUCCGGGGUUCUCUCCGGUGCACUCGGUUGCGUUCAGGCCAGCAUCGGUUUGGGUGGUUGGAUAAAGGCCUUGGGAAUGUAGCUUCUUUCGGGGAGUGUUAUAGCCCUCGGUGCAAUGCAGCCUACCUGGACCGAGGACCGCGCUUCGGCUAG
rnacentral:rRNA from 1 species